CUCAAUCUGAUACCCCUUGAAAUCAAGAAAACUAUACGCAUGCGCAUUAAUACAUAAACAAACCCGCGACUUGCGAUUUGGAACAAGAACGUUUAUUUAAUUUAUGAUAUGAUGAAUGAGUCUCAAUUUCUUUAUGAGAGUACAGUAUCAGUUUCAUAACGGUAAAAUAUAGAAAACUCCACUUCAGUUCUUAUAUAUGACAGAAAUAGAAUUAUCGGAAUUCAAAGAACUCUCGCAUUUAUCAAAAACUGGGAAUUCCCUCUGACGUGUUUCUAAAU
rnacentral:lncRNA from 1 species